UAAACACUUCGCUCUGAUGCGAAGUUAAUUCUAGCUAUUAAACUUCAUAUGGUAACUUACAUUAAUUGUGAACUAACUUAGGGUUUAAGUAGACCAUUAAACAUGACUACUACUACCUAAGAAGUAGGACCUAACACAUUCCUAAAGGUUAUACCCACAACACCAAUGACUUAUAUUAUCAUCCAGUUAGGAAACUAAGCCAUAGAAAUAGCCAACAAAAGUGAUUAAAAGCGGUGCCAGCAGUCGCGGUUAGACCCCUACUUUAAGUUAACUAUUACAAGUACUUAAGAGUCAAACUAAUUUUAAUAAGAUCACAAUCGUAAAUAUGAAGGUAAAAUUUAUACCACACUUACACCCAAACAGACCUAAUAAGCAUGACUCAACAAACCACACCACGAAACAGGGAUUAGAUACCCCAUUAUCGAGUGGCCCAACCAACAAAACACUAAAAAUGAAAAUUUAAAAAUUAAAGAGCGUGGCGGUGUUUCACACCACAUUAGGGGAUCCUGUGGCUUAAUCCGAUAACCCACGAAUAUCAAAGCUUUAUUGGUACAUCAGCUUGUGUAUGGCCGUUAAUGUCUCCGCAUAUAAAGCAUUAAAAGAAGACAUCAGAACCUCAAACUCAAUAAAACAGGUGACACACAGCCCAUAUAAAGCAGCUCAUGGGAUACAGAAAACCAUUAUUUCUCCUAAGUAGAGUGAUACCUCUACACUAAAGAAGGACUUAAAAGUAAGACCACAACACUAUUAUGGCCUGAAUAAGAAAUGAAACGCGCACAAAUCGCCCGUCACUCCUGUUAUUAACCCAGGACAAGUCGUAACAUAGUAGGGGUAACGGAAGUUGCCCCUAAUUUCUC
rnacentral:ncRNA from 1 species